UUUGCUUCGGCUUCUUUGGGAAUUUUUUACUAUUUGUUUGUAUUUAGGUGAAAGAUAAGACUUCAAAUAUACUGUCUAAAAAAAUAUCUUUUUGAAAUUUUGUGUAUAAAUGAGUGAUUUGGUCAGGUAAAUAAAGCUGGAAUUUCCCCUUCUCGGAAGCUCUCUGGCUUCAUCCAUACCGGUGUCCUUAUGUUUGUGGUUCCCAAGAGAAAAUGAGCUUGUAGAGUUUUCUAAAUUUUUGGU
rnacentral:lncRNA from 1 species